CCCCCCGCCGAUGACCCAAUGCCCCUCCAGUAGAUCUGCUCUGGCGCCGACUCUGUAUAGGAUUCAGUGAUCAAGAUGCUGACAAAAUCCUCUACCUGAGAUCCAUUACUCGAACUAAGAACUGGAUGGGCAUUUCUUUGGGCUCUUGAGCUGCACGUGUUAAUUUUUCUGAUGCAAUACCCGUCACGUCUGCAGGGUGGUGCUCCAGGUCAACUUUUUGCUGACUCUCGUUAAUUGUUUCACGUUCUGCACAGGAUGCACUAUCGAUUUCCUCUUCGUCACCAUUUCUCAAGCUGUCAAUUUUCUCCUUUGUAUCUAACAACACAGAUAACCCCUCAUCUUCAAGUGAAACAACAUCUUCUCCAAAAACUGCAAAAUGCAUCUUCUCAGCGCACGAGGCGUGUGCGUUUCACCCUCCCCCACAUCUAACUAAUGCUUAACUGAGUUGGUCAGUUAGUGACGCAAACUAAACGCUCAUUAUCCUAGCCGUGAAGGCGGGGCGGAUAAGUGGUGUGGGUGAACACAGGAAAAACUAUGAAUAAUGUUGCUGAAGAGUGUUACCUACAAGGUCAUUCUGUGACUUGGGCUAUUUGGUUCAUCAACAUAAUUACCAAGAAUUUUACUGAUGUUCAGACAGGUUCAGUCUCUGAUAGGAAGAAGAAAAACAAAGCACAUAAAUGCAGAGAGAUUAGGAUAGAGAAGGAGGGUUUCCUUGUUCGUCUGUGAACUGUCUCCACACUAAGGUCUAUGGCAUGGCCCAUAGGUAGGGGGCGCUAUGGAGUCAUAGUAAAGUAAAGUCAGUUAAAUCAUUAAAUGAAUAACUGAAAUACAAAAAUUAGGCAAUUGAGAGUUAAUCCUAAACACUUUAAAGAGUGCAAUCUGAUUGUUUUGAUCAAAGCUCAAAUUCAACUAAAUUGAUUUAAUUAAAAUUGAAGUAUCAUCAAAUACAAUUCUAACUGCAAGGGAGAAAAUGUAAGAAACCCUGAGAAGUAAUUAAAAUUAAAUAAAAAUUAAAUCAUCAAAACAAUAAUGGAAUAAUAUUAAUUAUCAUUAUAGUUUGUAUAAUAACAAAUAAUAAAUAUUCUCAAAUAAAGUAAACGGUGAAAUAGCAGAAUAAUGAAAUCAUAAAAUCAAACAAAAGGAGAGACUGCCUGAGACUUCACACUAGAUAGCGUUGCCCGAGCAAAGGGGGGAGUCGGGCAGAGAUGAGACAGGAGAAGUGUUAGACACUUUAAGACAAACUGACCUCUAGUGUUAGUAGACGGUAAUAUGUCUUAUGCCAGACUUCCUGUUCCACAUUCUAUGUGGAAUCACACUUACAUUAACGCGCAUUUGCUAUGGCGACAAGUGUAAUUUGAUCGCAGUUCUAAUGGCUCGUGUCAGUUUACCUGAACACGGGUACAUGGCUUUUCAACGUACACACACAAUAGACACACAAUACUACACUAUAACUGACUAACGGAAUUUCUUCGCCGUCCUGAAAGUUAUUUGUGUAACUUGGUCGAGAUUCUUUGCCGACCGUAACAUAAAAACAAACAAAACACUUGAUCAAGAUUUUUAUGACACUCCCCUUUAAACGGUCGUCAUUUACUGUUUAACUACACAAUAUACAGUAAAGUACAUAUACAGUACACAGUAUCCUUUCGCCUCGUCUACUCAGGAGAAAACGAGAAAGCAUGCAUUAGUUAGCUAGUCUAAUGGUUACACUUCGGGAAGCGGUGUGUCUUAGAUGAAACAUUGGAACACACAGUGCUUCAAUCUAAUUUAAACAUAAUUCGGCCGUACACGAAUUAGGGAGGAAAACUCGCUCCACUAUUUCCUUCGCGCUAACAAGAGGAUUUCUUAGCUCAGAUUAGGGCAGUCACACGAUAUCGGGACUCUCUAUAAAAUAUUUCUUCGUUUUAUAGGGUCACAUUAAAUUGCAGUUAACUUAACCAUCAUUAACAGUACCUUGGGUUUUUCCUAAAUAGGUCACAGAGGCUUGUUUCGGUGCAGUAACUAAAGGGAGCGAGUCUCGCUCUACCUUCUUCACACUAAAAGAGGAUUUCUUUGCUCAAUUUAGAGCGGUAAAAUAAAUAGUAUAGUACGCUAUAAAGAGAUUUCUUCAUCUUUAUAUUGUCACUAAAUCUUUGACAGAGGCUGAGGUUUUCUCUGCGAGAAGCUCAAAAGUCUGCCAAGGAUAGGUGGGUGGGUCCACACCUUCAUUCAUACAUAAAGUGCCAUUUAAGAGAGUAUUCAGUUUCGAUAAACACCCAUAGAAACACACAUGAAUAGUCACUGAGUUCUGCUCACAAAACAAGGUUUAAAACUGCGCCCGCAUUCCCUCCACCAAUUAUGUAGUGGUUUUAGCUAACGUUAUUAUAUUGAUGAGCAAAGCUCACCAAAUAUGGUUCUCCACCAGAUCUUUCAAGAUCAUAUCCAUGAAAUGAGUUAUUUAAAACAGCAAUUUCAGUCAAGGAAUUAGUUUAGUUUAGUUUAGUGAUCAAAUAUACAUAUUUUACGAUCUCUGAUUAGUAAUAUAAAGCAUAACAAUACUUGUAUGCAUUCGUCCAGCAAAUGCCUCAAUGACAUUAUAUACUUUACAUUAUCUCAUGGCCAUAAGUAACAUGACUUUACCAAACAGGAUUUAGAGCAAAGGUAGCGUAAAUCAAAACACAGUAAAAGGGACCAAGUCUGUGAGCGUGAAUACAGAAAACCCAUCACACAUGAAUAUAUAUGGUUGUUUAUUAAACUCUACUCUACAUGAUAACAAAAACAAUGACGAUCGCAUAAAACAAAUAAAUACAUGAAACACAAAUGCGCUUGGAAGCGCGGAGAGGGAGAAAGAGUGAGAAGAGAGAGAGAGAGAGAAAGAGAGAGAGAGAGAGAGGGCAUGGCAGCGAUUUCUGAACACCAAUAAAAAUCAUCUUUAACAAAGAGGCACAUACUUAACGCAGCUAUUCUAUAAAUAGAAACGGAUACUUGCAAGCUCUGUGCUGGACGAUAUCCGUAUGCGUGUGUAGAGAUGGAAUUGUUCAAAAGGUUUCAGAAAGAAAGUCCUGCCGAUGGCUUAACCACGUGGCAGUAGAAGUCCAUUGUUCCAUCCCUUUUCCCAGGGGGGGAGGGCAGUCUCCGAAGAGACCGGAGGAAGGGACGAAGCCGGAAGAGAAGAGAGGACGACAAGACAAGAGAAGGUUUUCAGAGCAGGCUCGAUAUUUAACCUCAUGAGAGGGCAUGCCCACCUGAGUUUGAAUCGAUCAAUCAGAGUUGAGCAGGGAAGAGGUUCUUUGUCCACUCAACAGCUAAUUUGCAUCUUUAUGACCUCCUGGUCACACAAUGUAUAUAUACAAGGAGGAAUUGUAAAGACAAACAUUUAGAUAUCAAAAAUGGACAGGUUUGAAUUGCAACAAGUCAUGAUUCAUUCAGAUGGAUCCCAUACAAACAAAGCCUGAAAUAAACGUGUAUAUCUAACUGUGACAGACUAUUUAAAAUGGCACAAGCGCCAACACACAACCUACAGUAGAUAGUUAGAUAUAUGUAUAGAAAAGGACAGUUUAAUCACAUAAGUUCCUAUUUGUCAGGGACAUUUCUCUGGUUAACCUCAGAUGUUAAGUUAGAGAUGAGACAGAGACUUCUCACCAAUGGUUUGAAGCAUAGCUGUCGUAAAUAUCCAACAGAGAGACAAACCGUUAUCAAAACUCUAAAACCAGACCCCUGGAGCCAGGUUUUUGCUAUGGUCUUUUGAUGAUGAUGGCAAAAGAAACCAGGACAAAAGGGAGUGGGAGUUGAUGGCUCUUCUUUCAAUGACUCCGACCAUUUGGCUUAUGCUAGAUUCUCUACACCCUUUAUUACCCGAACUAAUAUUUUGUUCCCUUAUACCUACACGUAGGCAGAGGUGGGUAGAGUAGCCAAAAUCUUUACUCAAGUAAAAGUACAAGUAACUAGAGAAAUUGUUACUCAAGUAAAAGUAAAAGUCACUAUUUUAAAAAUUACUUGAGUAAAAGUAAAAAAGUAUGCAAUGAAAAAACUACUCAAGUAGCUAGUUACUUAGUUACUUUGUAUCUGAUUAUAUAGGCCUACUACAUUAAAUUAAUAUUAACACCAAUAUUUUAAUAUUACAUUUUAAUCAAUAUUUUUAAUUAUCAUAAGCAGAUAUCUUUGCAAUAUACUAGAGAGACUAAAGAAUAGACAAACACAGAAGAGACAAGCAUUUCUGUAAAUUUCACCUAGUCCUGAUGUCAGUGUAGUUUACACAACUUAUUUAGAAUAAUAGACCAUGUCAAACUAAAGCAUGAACUAAACUCAGAGCAUUUCCUAAGAUGAUCUAGAACAUCUGCAGUGCUCUCUUAAAUGAAAUACACAUUUUUGAACAAAGUUCAUGUUUUCUCGUGUUGUGUCACGUGUGUGUUGUGAAACGCACAAACAGUAAACAGUGAACCACACGCCCAUCAACAAGUUUUCUUCCUUCUGUUCUUCAAAUGUAUAUUUCUGCAAGCCCACGUCUCUGUGACUGACAGGUAACGCGCAUGUUGCGGUGUCUGACGAACAGGUCGCGCGGGUGCGCGCAUAUGGCCGGCAUUUAUCAUUGCUGGCAAACAAUAUGACACAUUUGCAGUUUUGAUUGUAUAGAUAUAGAUUAAUAUCCACUUCAUCCAACGCUCUUUGUGUUCUGCGUGUUCUUAAGUUUCGCGCUACGAGGAGUGAGUAAUCUGCUUCAGAUGAUUCAGAUCGUGCUGCGUACUGAACAAAUCAUUUGAACUGAUUCAUUAGCCUAUUCAAAUGGUUUUGCCCAUUGUUCAAUUAAAGCUUUCAAAGGAAUCGACUCAAAAGAAUCGAUCACUCGGGAAUGCCCGUAAAAAGAGACGACAACCUUGAAAUAAACAACGCGUUUUAAAAAGCAUAUUUUAAAAUGAAGGAACGAAGGAACGUCACGCAAUGUAAGUUAUGUAACGAAGUAAAAGUACAGAUUUUCUAUUAGAAAUUUACUCAAGUAAGAGUAAAAGUACACACUUUUAAUUUGACUUAAAAAGUACAUAUUUUCCAAAAUGUUACUCAAGUAAAUGUAACGAAGUAAAUGUAGCGCGUUACUACCCACCUCUGCACGUAGGUACACUAUAGUUACCAAAACUUACACCGUAAAUUCAGUUUACUUAUGCGGUUCUUUGCGGGUCGUAAUCUAAAGCGUUACCAAUUUUUCUACAGUGGCAAUGCCUUUGACUAAUUUGUUGCGUGGGGGCGUGGAUUUCUGUUGGACCCCGUUGUGUCAACAAGCACUUGAAAAUGUAAAAAUGCUGCUUACGGAGGCUCCGGUUUUAGCAGCUGCAAAAUUUGUCCAGCCUUUUCAUUUACAGGUGGAUGCUAGUAAUGUGGGUGCUGGCGCUGUCUUGUUGCAGAAGUCUGAAAAUGGGAUUGAUCAUCCAGUUGUUUUUUUCUCUAGAAAAUGUAAUUUUUUACAUCUUGCUUAUUACCUAUAAAGCCCUACAUGGUUUGGCUCUUCAGUACUUGAGUGAACUCCUCUUGUAUUACAGUCCUUCACGUGCAUUAUGCUCUCAGGCAUCCUGUCAGUUGGUAAUACCUAGAAUUUCAAAAUCAAGUGCAGGUGGUAGAUCCUUUUCCUAUCUAGCGCCUAAACUUUGGAAUAGUCUUCCCCGCACUGGCUGGGAGGCAGACACACUCUGUCAGUUUAAAUCUAGACUAAAGACGCAUCUUUUUAAUCUUGCAUACACUACACUUCCAUAAUAUAAAAGAGGGUUUAGGGUGCAUUAGUUAGAUAAACCAGAACCAGGAACACAACUGAUGUACUUGUUGCAUCAAAGAGUGCAUAACAGUACUCUACACUCAGCCAGUCUUGUCUUAUUGUUCCAAGGUUACCACAGCGAGCAGGAUGCAGUUCAUGCCCAGACCUGAUGGUAGAGCGACGAAUGGGAAGCGGCGACCUGACAAGAACUGAGAUUAUAGAGCUGGAUAAAGAAGGACGCGGCUACUUGACACUUCUUUACUACAAAAUUUCAACUGCUAUUAGAUUAUUAAUGAUAAUCUUAAAUGUAUUAUUUACCUUAUUAGUAAAUUUAUUUAUUUUUAUUUAGCCUUGUUGUGCAAGCACUGUCGAGCUUGUGCAGAGGCAGCUGCUUUUGCCAGAGGGGAACUGGAAUCCCCUGGUUGGGCCUGGGUUCUCCUGAGGAGUUUUGGGUUCCUCACCACUGUUUACAUACUGUUUUGCACUGUUUGCCUGGCCUGGGGGGCUGCUUUAGAAUUAGAAUUUUAAAGUUUUACUCAACAUUAAUAUUGCAUAUAGGAAUUUAUAGUCCGUUUAAUAUUUGACCUGUGUUUCUCUCUCCUUUAUCUUAAAUGUGUUUUUCUCAGUGAUAACCACUGUGUGUGUGUGUUCAUGUUUGUAUAUCCCGGUGGGGACCUAAACCCGAAUACACACCAACACAUGGGGACUCGUGUCACCGUGGGGACCAAAAUUGAGGUCCCCAGGGGCAAAAAAGCUAAUAAAUUGUACAGAACAAUAUUUUUUACAAAUCUAAAAAUGCAAAAAGUGUUCUAUGAUCUUUAGGUUUAGGGAUAGGGAUAGGGGAUAGAAUAUACAGUUUGUACAGUAUAAAAACAUUACGCCUAUGGACUGUCCCCACAGGGAUAGUCAACCAAAGCGUGUGUGUGUGUGUGUGUGUGCGCGUCUGCGCGUCCAUGUGUUUGCGCGUUUGUGUGUAUAUUGUGUGUGUGGAGUGUUCUGUGUGUGGGGUAUUUGAAUUGGUGUGUGUGUGUGUGUGUUUUGUCUGUGUUUUCACCUUUUUUGUUUUUACUUUUAUAACGUUAAAUGUUUUGCUUAUAGUCAAUAUGUUUCAUGUACAGCUGCUUUGUAACAAGAGUCAUCACAACUUCUCCAUUCAACUGGGCUCAUCAACCAUCACAUCUUCCAGAACGGCCAGAAACCUGGGAGUGGUGAUCGACGAUCAGCUUAACUUCACAGAUCAGGUUGCCAGCACCACCUGGUCCUGUAGAUUCAUCCUCUACAAUAUUAGGAAAAUUAGACCUUUCCUAUCCAAGCAUGCUACGCAAGUCCUAGUCCAGGCUCUUGUUCUGUCCAGACUGGACUACUGCAAUGCUCUAUUGGCUGGACUUCCAGCUUGCACAACCAAACCUCUACAGAUGAUCCAGAAUGCGGCGGCAAGAGUGGUCUUCAAUGAACCGAAGAGAGCGCACAUCACUCCUCUCUUCACUAAGUUACAUUGGCUCCCUAUAGUCACUCGAAUCAAAUUCAAGACUCCGCUCCUGGCCUACAAGACCACCACUGAUUUGGCACCCCCUUACCUUCACUCGCUAAUGCAGACUUAUGUACCCGCCAGAUCCCUAUGCUCUGCAAACGAACAACGUCUUGUGGUGCCAUCCCAAAAAGGUAAAAAAUCUCUCACGUACCUUCUCGGGAUCGGUUCCACAUUUAUGGAAUGAUCUGCCCGCUGCUACAAGAUCAGCAGUUACUGUAUCCAUCUUUAAGAACUGUCUGAAAACACAUCUCUUCCAUCAACACCUGACUGAUCAGUUCUGACUGCUAUCUCUUUUCUACUCUUUAAAAAAGAAAAAAAACUUAGCUCUGUAUACUGUGGUAAGCUAUAUGAGACCAAUUUUCUUUUAUUGCACUUAUGCUUUUUGUUGUCCUUAUGUUGUUCCAAUUGCUUCCAUUGUUUCCCUCAUCUGUAAGUCGCUUUGGAUAAAAGCGUCUGCUAAACGACUAAAUGUAAAUGUUACAAUUAAAAUUGUAAAAAGCGUUAUAUAAAUCAAGUUGACUCAUAACUCACAAUGUUGAAUGUUAUUUUUAAAGUAUAUUUUCCACUUGGAAAAUAAUGGAAGACAGCUAAAUGCAGCAUACAAAGUCUACUUUGCCCUUUUUAUACAGAAAAACAUAACAGAACACACUGAAUCUGCAGUUAGGUCAACAUUCUAAGCCCUACUUGGUGGUGUAGAUAUUUUUGGGUUCUCCAAUGGAUUCUUCUUGGUACCUAAUGAAAGAUUUUUUAACUAAUACAAUAUGCACACAAGGUACAACUUGAUCAAUAUGAGUAGUAUAUAUGCAGGUCAUAGUGUCAAAAUGAUUGAUGGUGACCUUUGACCUUUGCGGGGGGGGUUGAAUUACUUCCGGACCACCCACGUAGUGAGGGACCGCCCACAUCGCGUUGACCUUUUGACUGUAUCCGCCCACAUCGCGUUGACCUUUUGACCGUAUCCGCCCCCCGUAGUGAGGGACCGCCCACGUCGCGUUGAACUUUUGACCGUGCCCUCACAUCCCAUUUUUCCGGGGCAUGUUUUAGGAUGUAUUGCUACAUAUCUUUAGCAUGAAUGAAAAUAUGUAAUUUAAAGGAGAUGAUGAGAUCAUUAUUAAUAUGCAAUCAUUGGUUAUUUAAACAGCGUUUAAAAAUAAUAAUGAAUAAGACAACAACUACACAAACACUGUUUGAAUAAACAAACAGGUUUAAAUGAAUAAUCGUGUGAAUAAAUAAAUAAAGCAUCUAUUAAAUAAGUAAAGAAGUAAAUACGUAAUUAUACAAUGUAUUCAAUAUAUGAGAGAGGAAAGGCAGAGAGGCCAUGCAGAUUACCUUAUGUUUUUCAGCGUUUUCACCCAGUCUAUAACAUUCCAGUGAGAGGUGUCCGCACCAAGGCUCGUAAAUUUGUUUUGAAAGAGGAGG